ACCUCAAACAGACACCAUGGUGCACCUGACUCCUGAGGAGAA
rnacentral:misc_RNA from 1 species